rnacentral:rRNA from 1 species
GGACGAACGCUGGCGGCGUGCCUAAUACAUGCAAGUCGAACGCUUCCUACCGGUGCUUGCACCGGGAAAGAAGAGUGGCGGACGGGUGAGUAACACGUGGGUAACCUACCUACAAGCGGGGGAUAACAUUCGGAAACGGAUGCUAAUACCGCAUAGAUCUUUUUGUCUCCUGGCAGAAAGAAGAAAGACGGUUUCGGCUGUCACUUGUAGAUGGACCCGCGGCGCAUUAGUUAGUUGGUGAGGUAAUGGCUCACCAAGACGAUGAUGCGUAGCCGACCUGAGAGGGUGAUCGGCCACACUGGGACUGAGACACGGCCCAGACUCCUACGGGAGGCAGCAGUAGGGAAUCUUCCGCAAUGGACGAAAGUCUGACGGAGCAACGCCGCGUGAGUGAAGAAGGUUUUCGGAUCGUAAAACUCUGUUGUUAGAGAAGAACAAGGAUGAGAGUAACUGCUCGUCCCUUGACGGUAUCUAACCAGAAAGCCAUGGCUAACUAC